GAGCGGUAGUUCAGUUGGUUUGCUUUUUGUUUAAGAACUGGGGCCGGCCUGUCACGCCGGGGGCGCGCUGAUGUUCGGCAUAGCAGUCCCGUCCGCUUCG
rnacentral:tRNA from 2 species